rnacentral:rRNA from 1 species
GACGAACGCUGGCGGCGUGCUUAACACAUGCAAGUCGAACGGAAAGUCCCUGCUUUUGUGGGGUGCUCGAGUGGCGAACGGGUGAGUAACACGUGAGUAACCUGCCCUUGACUUUGGGAUAACUUCAGGAAACUGGGGCUAAUACCGGAUAGGAGCUCCUGCUGCAUGGUGGGGGUUGGAAAGUUUCGGCGGUUGGGGAUGGACUCGCGGCUUAUCAGCUUGUUGGUGGGGUAGUGGCUUACCAAGGCUUUGACGGGUAGCCGGCCUGGGAGGGUGACCGGCCACAUUGGGACUGAGAUACGGCACAGACUCCUACGGGAGGCAGCAGUGGGGAAUAUUGCACAAUGGGCGGAAGCCUGAUGCAGCAACGCCGCGUGCGGGAUGACGGCCUUCGGGUUGUAAACCGCUUUCGCCUGUGACGAAGCGUGAGUGACGGUAAUGGGUAAAGAAGCACCGGCUAACUACGUG